CGGAAACGAAGUAAUGAAAAGAGUUGGGGUGGGGCGUGGCGGGGCCUGCCCCUGCCGGAAGAAGUUUGGGUGGAGCCAAGUAUUCAAGCUCCAGGACAAAGGGGGAGGGGAGGCCGCCACUAGCAAACAACCUCAGCUUCAUAAACCCAGCAGAAAGGUCCGGGGUAUUGGUCGAAAGGACCACGAUUCUGUCCGCCCGCCCAAGUGGGACGAACAACGAAGUUGUGCGAUGGAGCUUUAAAGGGGCUGGUGAUUGACAGAAUGUGCAGUAGUGGAUGGGGUGGAGCUGCUGGGUGGGGUCGAGACUGGCAGCUGAGAGAUACCGAAAGGAAGAAAAAAGAAAACUAUUGCCCUUGAUAUCGCUAAUGCCGGGGGAGGGAAGCUAACUAGAAAGUAGGGAAAAGGAAGGUUUUAGCGCUCACCUAGACUCGUUCCCCUGGCUAACAUUCUUCACACUCUUUUACCUUCCCUUGAGAUAAUUAAAAUAGACUGUAAAGCGGCCUUAGUCGGUGCCCAUUCCCCCUAACUCUUCACUCAACUACGUGUGUAGUCUGAGGGAGUGAGGACCCCGGGUCCACCAGCUCAAUCCCGGCCCCGCCCCGUCGGCCCUGGUCCCGGAGCUGGGAGGAGAGGAUGCCUUCGGAGGCGCAGAAUCCGAAAGCUAGUGAAGGAGGCUUCAAGAAGUUCCAAGUCUUGGUGGCUAAUGAUGUGAACAUAUCGUAUGGCUUGAGGAGGUGAAGACUGCUUACGGACCUUAAAAGAUUUGGUAA